rnacentral:misc_RNA from 1 species
UUGUGGAGGAGGACGCCGAAGGUGGGGCUGAUGACUGGGGUGAAGUCGUAACAAGGUAGCCGUACCGGAAGUGCGGCUGGAUCACUCCUAACAGGGAGACGAAACUGAUUAUGAUGUCUGAGAUAUUUUCUUAGGCCAUAAUCCUGUCACCUUAGGUCGAUCGGUACCUCAAAUUAAGACUUAAUAUUUACUGAGAAAUCAAGUAUAAGUUUUGUCUUUGAUUUCAGUUCCUAAACUUGUCUAGGUCACACCCAACAAGGGUAAUUCUGGGCCAUUAGCUCAGGUGGUUAGAGCGCACCCCUGAUAAGGGUGAGGUCCCUGGUUCAAGUCCAGGAUGGCCCAUUCGGUUUUGGGGGUAUAGCUCAGUUGGUAGAGCGCCUGCUUUGCAAGCAGGAUGUCAGCGGUUCGAGUCCGCUUACCUCCACUGAUCCAACUCCUGAUAUAGCAGCCCAAGGAGAAUAUUAUUUCUGUGACCUAGUACUUGUUCUUAUGAACGAACCUAGCUUCUUGUCAUACCUUCUUAAAAUGUUUUUGUAUGGCUGAUAGGACGCUGGGCUCACUGCAAAAAAAUUGCAGGGAAGUUCAGUAGAACCUUGACAACUGCAUAGUGAGUCUGGAAAGAAUAAAGCAUCUCAUGGAUGCAUUCUUCUUUUAAACCAAACUUGAUUUUUCUGACUUAAUUCAGAUAUUUUGAGUUAGUUUGAAAUUAUAAUGUUUAAUUCUUGAGCAAAGAGCCGAGACUCUGAAAUGUUUCUUUCAUUGAUUUAAUUUUAAUGAGAGUUAGAUCUUUAGUUUUUCUUGAUUUUAAUAUUUCAUUAGUUAAUUCUAUUGAUUGAUAUUAGAGAUUCGAAAAAACUACUGAGAAAAGUGUUAACAACACAUCGCAUUUUAGAGGUUAAUGGUCAAGCUACAA